GAUUUCUGGCUUGACGCGCCUGGCCCGCCUCGGUUACGAGUGUGAGUGCCGGUGCGCGUCUGCCAUCCUUCCAGAAAACGGUCUCACCCUUCACUGGGCUGGGGUCGCGAUCUGGAUCUAUUACUUUGAAAAAAUUAGAGUGUUUAAAGCAGGCGUUUGCUAUGAAUACAUUAGCAUGGAAUAAUAAUUUAGGACUUUGGUUCUAUUUUGUUGGUUUCUAGGACUGAAGUAAUGAUUGAUAGGGAUAGUUGGGGGUGCUAGUAUUCAGUGGCCAGAGGUGAAAUUCUUGGAUUCACUGAAGACUAACUUAUGCGAAAGCAUU
rnacentral:rRNA from 1 species